CGCAGGGUCCUGCUCCUCUCUAAUUUGUUCAGACAUUGUGGUGUGUCUGGCCAUAUCAUUUGUCAUAGGUGUAAAAACAAUCACAACCAAAGCUUAAAGCUGUUGGGAUGAGCAGCUGCCUGGGAAUCACGCUCCUUCCUGCUCUUUCCAAAAAGCCAGGUGCCGCCGGCCAGCAUCCCGCUCCCUUUGACCCGCAGUCUGUGCGGGAAGUAGGCCCGGAGUGGUGCCAGCAGGAGGUGGCCUUAGAAAGGCGGAGACCCAAGGAGCAGAGUGAGUCGGCGUCCAGCUCCACCUGAAAGCGCCAUCUUGUCGCCACUUCCCUCAGGAGCAGCAUGCCCAGCCUCUUGCAUAGGAAGAAGUGGUAAGCUAAGGAGAGAAAUGCAGGGUUCCUAGUACACCAAUUUUCCAACUUUUUCAUCUUGGCCCUGCUUUAAAAUGAUGCAUCUACUGUCUUCAUGCCUCAGCACAGCAGAGGGUCACCUGAAUGUGGAAAAGUUGAGUUGGAGCAAAACUGGCACGGCCAUACUGGAUGGACCUCAGCAUGACCAGGACACAUUUCAGCUCAAAUCCCCUGUGCCAAGAACACAUUCUGCCAAGGACCACCACCUCUUCCCACAACUGUGAGUGGAUUUAUGUCAUCACAGGAGGUGCAAAAACGUGUGGUGAGAGAGCUGGCUUACCAGAGCACCGAUGGACUUGGAUACCUGAGAUAUCUGCUUGGGAUCCCACACUUUCAAGGUCUCUCCUCUGGCCUUCUUCUGGUUCUGCGACUCCUUACAGCGCUGGGAGUUGGUGAUGCCAACAGGACAUACGCUCCCAGAGCCUACCUCUCCCAGAUCACUUUAAAAGGCACCCAGGACCCCAGAAUUCUCAUCCUCAAAGGCAUGGAGCUCAGCUCUUGGCCCUCAACAAAUCUCUUCCCCAUAAAGAUCCUUUUGAGAGCUUAGGAUGUCCCCCGGAUGGUUUUGGUUGCAGAUUGUGGUGGUGGAGGGAGCUAUACAAUUUAAUCUAUUGCCAUUAAUUGGAUGCGCUAAUGGCAGAUUGGGUAGUGAUAAUGCCAUAAGAGGUAGUGUGUGAGCCGUGUGCUGCAUCUGUGCUAGCUCAGGUAAGUCAGCACACAGCACCUGCAGCCUCCUCUCACCUCUUCCCUGAGCAGCACCUUUUCACCUGAACAUGCUGAUCCCCUAGUGCUUCAUCUUGACAGCAACUUAACAAGCCCUGGGCAGCUUUUUAAAAUAAAUGACUAUGAUAUUGACUAUGAAUCUACAUAAAAGCCACUUGUUUUUUAGUCAUAAUCUGUGUCUAACUGCAGAAGAAAUUCACACCUUUGAAAAACAAAUAAAAAUGUAAAAAGUGAAAAUUGUUUGUAACCACAAUAUUCUGAAAUAGAACCUUUUUGUUAGAUCAUUUUCAAGAGGAUUUUUCAUACUUUCCUACAGUAAUACCAAUGUAUAUGCACUUGUAUAAAUUCUUGGUUAAAAUA
ensembl:lncRNA LINC01501 long intergenic non-protein coding RNA 1501